rnacentral:rRNA from 1 species
GACGAACGCUGGCGGCGUGCCUAAUACAUGCAAGUUGAGCGCUGAAGGUUGGUACUUGUACCAACUGGAUGAGCAGCGAACGGGUGAGUAACGCGUGGGGAAUCUGCCUUUGAGCGGGGGACAACAUUUGGAAACGAAUGCUAAUACCGCAUAAAAACUUUAAACACAAGUUUUAAGUUUGAAAGAUGCAAUUGCAUCACUCAAAGAUGAUCCCGCGUUGUAUUAGCUAGUUGGUGAGGUAAAGGCUCACCAAGGCGAUGAUACUUAGCCGACCUGAGAGGGUGAUCGGCCACAUUGGGACUGAGACACGGCCCAAACUCCUACGGGAGGCAGCAGUAGGGAAUCUUCGGCAAUGGACGAAAGUCUGACCGAGCAACGCCGCGUGAGUGAAGAAGGUUGUCGGAUCGUAAAACUCUGUUGGUAGAGAAGAACGUUGGUGAGAGUGGAAAGCUCAUCAAGUGACGGUAACUACCCAGAAAGGGACGGCUAACUACGUG